rfam:Oryza rufipogon genomic scaffold, chr04
AACCACACUAUCAAUGGAUGGAUUCACCCGUGAAAUGACGCGGUUGUUUCACCUAGGACGAGGACAUGGCAUCCUAUUACCAGCCAUCGCACAAAAUUAAUAGGAUGCCACGUCCACAUCCUAGAUAAAACAACCACGUCAUAUCAUGGGUGAAUCCAUUCAUCGAUAGUGUGGUU